UACGUAGGUCGCAAGCGUUGUCCGGAUUUACUGGGCGUAAAGAGCGCGCAGGCGGCUGGUCAAGUCCGAUGUGAAAUCUCCCGGCUCAACUGGGAAACUGCAUCGGAAACUGAUCGGCUUGAAGAUGGGAGAGGGUAGUGGAAUUCCCGGUGUAGUGGUGAAAUGCGUAGAUAUCGGGAGGAACACCAGUGGCGAAGGCGACAUCCUGGACCGGUAUUGACGCUGAGGCGCGAAAGCCAGGGGAGCAAACGGG
rnacentral:rRNA from 1 species